GACGAACGCUGGCGGCGUGCUUAACACAUGCAAGUCGAACGGUAAGGCUCCAGCUUGCUGGGGUACACGAGUGGCGAACGGGUGAGUAACACGUGGGUGACCUGCCCUGCACUUCGGGAUAAGCCUGGGAAACUGGGUCUAAUACCGGAUAGGACCGCACCGUGAGGGUGUGGUGGAAAGUUUUUUCGGUGUGGGAUGGGCCCGCGGCCUAUCAGCUUGUUGGUGGGGUAAUGGCCUACCAAGGCGGCGACGGGUAGCCGGCCUGAGAGGGUGGACGGCCACAUUGGGACUGAGACACGGCCCAGACUCCUACGGGAGGCAGCAGUGGGGAAUAUUGCACAAUGGGCGGAAGCCUGAUGCAGCGACGCCGCGUGGGGGAUGACGGCCUUCGGGUUGUAAACUCCUUUCACCAUCGACGAAGGGUUUCUGACGGUAGAUGGAGAAGAAGCACCGGCUAACUACGUGCCAGCAGCCGCGGUAAUACGUAGGGUGCGAGCGUUGUCCGGAAUUACUGGGCGUAAAGAGCUCGUAGGUGGUUUGUCGCGUCGUCUGUGAAAUUCCGGGGCUUAACUCCGGGCGUGCAGGCGAUACGGGCAUAACUUGAGUGCUGUAGGGGAGACUGGAAUUCCCGGUGUAGCGGUGAAAUGCGCAGAUAUCAGGAGGAACACCGGUGGCGAAGGCGGGUCUCUGGGCAGUAACUGACGCUGAGGAGCGAAAGCAUGGGGAGCGAACAGGAUUAGAUACCCUGGUAGUCCAUGCCGUAAACGGUGGGCGCUAGGUGUGGGUUUCCUUCCACGGGAUCCGUGCCGUAGCUAACGCAUUAAGCGCCCCGCCUGGGGAGUACGGCCGCAAGGCUAAAACUCAAAGGAAUUGACGGGGGCCCGCACAAGCGGCGGAGCAUGUGGAUUAAUUCGAUGCAACGCGAAGGACCUUACCUGGGCUUGACAUAUACAGGAUCGCGCCAGAGAUGGUGUUUCCCUUGUGGCUUGUAUACAGGUGGUGCAUGGUUGUCGUCAGCUCGUGUCGUGAGAUGUUGGGUUAAGUCCCGCAACGAGCGCAACCCUUGUCUUAUGUUGCCAGCACGUUGUGGUGGGGACUCGUAAGAAACUGCCGGGGUUAACUCGGAGGAAGGUGGGGAUGACGUCAAAUCAUCAUGCCCCUUAUGUCCAGGGCUUCACACAUGCUACAAUGGUCGGUACAGUGGGUUGCCAGUCCGUGAGGGCGAGCUAAUCCCGCAAAGCCGGUCUCAGUUCGGAUCGGGGUCUGCAACUCGACCCCGUGAAGUCGGAGUCGCUAGUAAUCGCAGAUCAGCAACGCUGCGGUGAAUACGUUCCCGGGCCU
rnacentral:rRNA from 1 species